GAUGAACGCUAGCGGCAGGCUUAACACAUGCAAGUCGAGGGGCAGCAUGAUGUAGCAAUACAUUGAUGGCGACCGGCGCAAGGGUGCGUAACGCGUGAGUAACAUGCCCGUAUCAGGGGGAUAACCCGAAGAAAUUCGGACUAAUACCCCAUAGUAAUUUGUGGAGGCAUCUCUAUGAAUUUAAAGCUCCGGCGGAUACGGAUUGACUCGCGUGACAUUAGCUAGAUGGUAAGGUAACGGCUUACCAUGGCGACGAUGUCUAGGGGAACUGAGAGGUUGGUCCCCCACACUGGAACUGAGACACGGUCCAGACUCCUACGGGAGGCAGCAGUGAGGAAUAUUGGACAAUGGAAGGAAUUCUGAUCCAGCCAUGCCGCGUGAAGGAUUACAGCCCUAUGGGUUUUAAACUCUUUUGUAUGUGAGCAAUAAGUCUUACGUGUAAGACGAUGAGAGUAGCAUACGAAUAAGCAUCGG
rnacentral:rRNA from 1 species